AUGUGCAAGCAAGUCAAUUUGCGUACCACAUUUUUGUCUUCCCAGUGGGACUUCGUGUCCCAGAGGCAGAGAAUGAAGUGAUGUCUGGUUGCAAGAGCCAGAUGACAGCUGAGCCAGCUAGCAGCUAAGAGGUCUGCAGGGAAGAGCGUUGGCUUCCGGGCAGAGUGAGACGGAGAGUCCUAUGGACCAUUUGCCCCCUAACCCCUGAGUAUGAUCGUUUGAAGGAGGACAAUCAUUUUUAAAGCUCUCCUCGUUUAUUGAGCGGCCACAGUAUCCUGGGCACUCGGCCAAACGCUUUGAGUACAACACCUCGCGAGAUCACCACACCUUCCUCACGGAAGAGAAAGUACCGAAGAGGAAACAGAGGGUCACAGAGGUUGCCUGACAUUACACAGCUAGCCGGUGACCAAGCCGGGAGUAGAACACAGACCCCCGACCCUUUUCCAUGUCCCGUAUUGUGAAUAAACAUACUCCUUAGAUUUGC